GACGAACGCUGGCGGCGUGCUUAACACAUGCAAGUCGAACGGUAAGGCCCUUCGGGGUACACGAGUGGCGAACGGGUGAGUAACACGUGGGUGAUCUGCCUUGCACUUCGGGAUAAGCCUGGGAAACUGGGUCUAAUACCGGAUAGGACCCUGGGAUGCAUGUCCUGGGGUGGAAAGCUUUUGCGGUGUGGGAUGGGCCCGCGGCCUAUCAGCUUGUUGGUGGGGUGAUGGCCUACCAAGGCGACGACGGGUAGCCGGCCUGAGAGGGUGACCGGCCGAACUGGGACUGGGAUACGGCCCAGACUCCUACGGGAGGCAGCAGUGGGGAAUAUUGCACAAUGGGCGCAAGCCUGAUGCAGCGACGCCGCGUGAGGGAUGACGGCCUUCGGGUUGUAAACCUCUUUCAGCACCGACGAAGCGCAAGUGACGGUAGGUGCAGAAGAAGGACCGGCCAACUACGUGCCAGCCGCCGCGGUAA
rnacentral:rRNA from 1 species